AGUUGGCUUCCAUAAACUAAA
rnacentral:snRNA from 1 species